UUUGCUUUUCCAAGUUACCUUCUUAAAUCGGCUUUACAAUAGAUUUACAUAGCCUGCAGAUGUGCAGCAACAGAAUAAAACUAAACCCUUCUGAUUUCCAAAUCACCAUCAUUUAAAGAGCUAUAAUUCAUAUUUAAUGAAGAAGAAACAGCAGAAAAAGCAUCCACAAGCAUUUAACAAGCGACUCCAAGAACAUGAAGUUUUUACCCUCUGCUAAAAGCCCUUCACCUUAUUCCUUCAUUUUAUAGGCUGAUGGAACAUGUUUGGAAGAAUUUGGAUGUUUUAGAGCAUUAUUAAAUUAUAAAAGAGCUAAUAUUAGAAAUAAAUGAUAGCUUAGAUUAAAAUGGGAUGGUUGGAGAUUUUCCUGAAAUGUACAAAGAAUGUUCAUUUCAAUGAAAGUAAUUUAUUGCAAACAGACUGAGGAACAAUAACAAGGCUAUAUGUCACUAACCUUGAUUAUAAAGAAUAGAUCUUAGCAGACAACCCCUAUUUUUAUGUAAUUACUAAAUUAGAGGAUGAAAGGAAAGCAGUGGAUACAGACAAAUUUCAGUAAUGCAUUGAUCAAGGGUGACGAAACCUUACUCUCACAACUGAUUUGGAACGGUUGACUCUGAACAUCAUAAUGUGCUUUGCAGGCUGACUAAAAGACCAUAAAUGAAAGUUAAUGAGAACUGGCAAAGUAUUGUGGGUCUGAUGGAGAAUGACAGGAUCUGAAUUAGUUGAAGUCUAAUUUUAAAAUCCUCAAUCGUAAUCUGGACAAGAGUUCUGUCAAUUGUAGGUGGUAAUAAAUAGGGAGGAGCUGAAAAUUCCUGCAAAGGCAGAGCGAUAAUAUAAAGGAGAUUUACAAGAAUAAAAUAUGUGCUCAGAAGAAUCAGAGGGAAAAAAAAGGUAAGUUAAUAUAUCUAGGGACCAGAACAGUCAAUUGGAGAAUGAGCCUGCUUAGCUGGGUAUGCCUUGCAAGAGAAAUCUAGACCAUUGUAAUGGUGGUAGAAUGGCAUUAUUGUGCUAGAUGUAGAUGGAUAUUAUUCCUGAGCCUGCUGUGCUGAAUAACCAUGAAAGGAAGCACAUGGUGUUGCAGAGAUUCUUCUUAUUAGAGAGACAUGAGGACCAGGUACAGGUCGCUCGGUAGCACCGAAGGUCAGUCUCUGACACUGCCCAGUAGCAGAAAGGAAAAGCAUACAAGAACAUAAAGCAAGUAUCCCGAAGCUUAGCAACCAUCAAGGCUAGGGAAUUCCUGAGGUGAAAUCAUGCAGCUCCUAGACUACAAUGUUGAUUUGUAUUUGUGGACCUAUUCUACCAUUUUAGAACCACUUCUUGGCUUUCACAAUAUCAAAAGGCUACAAGUAAUUCAACAUGUAUGAUGUGAAAAAAUAUUACUUUUAUUUAAUUUAGUCUUUCUGCUUGAUAAUCUCACUGAUCACCUCCUAAUUCUUGUAUUAUGACAACUGGUGAAUAGUGUUCCUUUUUCAAUUUCUCUCUAUUGAUCGUGAUUUUAUAUACUUCUGCCAUACCACUUCUCUGUUUUCUGAGCUGAAAAGUCCUUGUUUGUUUAAUCUUUCAUUUUCUGUAGGCCGUUUCCUAUUGGUAAUCAUCCUUGUCACCUUAUGUAUAGCUUUUCUAUUACUAUUAUUUGCUAUCCGAGUUGGAGGGACUGGUAGUGUGCACAGAAUUCAAGAUGUGGAUGCAUAAUUUUGUUUUCUUUAUUGCUUUCUUGAUAGUUACUAAUAUUCUAUCUACGUUUUGACCAGAGAGUGGACAUUUUUGGAAUAUUCCUCACAAUGACUCAAAGAGCACUUUCCUGAGGAGUAAGAGCAAGUUUGAACCCUUCCCUGGCUGCGGUGACUGAAAGCUGCUGUUCCCAAUGACUGGAAGUAUAUGUGAAGUGAAGGCAUGGUCCCUACUGGACAUGAACUACAGCUAUUGGACAUGAAAACAACCAUUAAAAUGGGAUGGAGUGAGAAAUAUAUGGCCUGGGGAGCUGGAUCACAUCCCCGACUUCAUUUAACGCAGCCCUUAGCCAUGAAGUCUUCCUGCGUAAGUACUGGAUAACAACAAGUCUGCCUUGCUGCAACCCGAGAAGAGUGAGAAGCCUCUGGUCUCUGGCGGGAGCCUCGGAGACCUUGGCCUGGGCCAGCCUGGCCUCCACCCUGCCUGGUGUCCCAUCCCAAACACGGGCCCGCAGGCGGCACCUGCAACAGCCUGCAAUAACAGCACAGGGGGCUUGACAGCUAUUGUGGAAAUGAAAUGUUGCUGGCACUGCGACUCCAUGUGCUAUCACUUUGAUUCAAUGCAUCCAAGGAUUAUGAUUUUUGAAACCACGGAUGUCUGAAGUUUGGCUAAUAACAGACAGGCUUGUCAGCUACCCUGUGUCAAGGAUAACUACAUCUCCCUGGGAAGCAGAGACUGAAGAGCCAGAGUUACGUCCUCACACUAUGAGAUCUCUAAUUAACUGCAGCACCCAAAGCAGACCAGCCUGAAAUCAAUAUAUUAAGCUCCUAUCAAUGGGAAAAAUCCUCAAAUCCAUUAGCAAUUUAGAAACAGAAACAAUGUAGGAGUAUUGGAAAACUAUAUUUUAUCAUCUUUCAGAGGCUGUUCAAUAUUUUUGCAGGGUUUUGAAUGGAAUAAGAUUUGUUUCUCUGCAGUUUUAUAGAACUCAGCUGUUGGGCCUCUCCUACCACACAGUUAUAUUGAAUUACUUAAGGAAUUGUGCUGUGCUAUAGAUAACAAUGCCUGAUGUGCAUAACAUAUGGUAAAGAAUCCAAUACAAUAUUAUGAUGCCAUAUUAGAUUUUUGUCAGCUUUUCAUUAGUGUUCAGUAGACUGUCCAAGGUCUCACACCAGGGCCCAGGGCUCUGCUGUGCUAAUGUGAGUUCAUUCCUGCCCACUGCCUUGCACUAAUGCCCAGGUGUGCCUCAUUCAGUAACAAGCCUCCACCUCCCCAAUGCCCUUAUAUCAUGGAGAAGCUCUUUAGCAAUCCCAGGCUCCUGUUUGCCAUGAGGGCAGGUAUAUGUGGGCCUGGCAAUGCAAGAGACUGUCAGGAAUUUAAGCUACCACCUGCAAGUCUGACUUUUUGGUUAAAGGGCCCCAAAUAUCUACUCAAAUGCUGAUAUGGAGUGAAAAAAGUCACAAGUAUGAAAGCUGCUAGUGCUCUGGAUCAUUCUAUCUUGAACCUCGGUCUGUGGCUGAGAACACAACACCUGAACUUCUGGUUAUAUGUCGUUCUUAUCUUCAGACCUGCGUAACAGUUGCUGAACUGCAGCUCUCAGGUACUGUUAAUUGUAAAAAAUAUGGGUUCUUCCUUCAAGGGAAGUGAAAGUGUUUGGUACAUCUAAAUGCAGAAUGAUUGGAGAAGGUAGCCAUGGAAAAGGCUCUGUCCUCUCUGCUGUUAUAUUAAUUAUUUGAUUAUUUGAGAAUGCAGUUAAGAUACUUCCAGUGAAUACAAGUGUAGGCUCUUGGGUACCUUCUGUGCUAGGCUUGAAUGACACUAUCUUUCUUGCUGCCCGGCUACAAUCAACUCUAGAUAAAAAGGAUGUAUUUAACAGAUGGACAGAGGCAAUCCAGGCAGGCAUAAGAAAUACUUUGAAUUUCUUUACUCUCUUGCCAUUCUCCCAGUGCCUGACUUAGGGCUUCUAGUUCAUUUGAAUUCAUCAGUGCUAUGAUUGCUAUGUAACUGAAGAUUGCCUGCAUAUGAGUACAGGUCUUCUCAAGAUAACUUAAGGAUAUGAGGCGUUUCUUACUUGUUGCUUUUUGUAUGUCUGGGAUUGAAGACUCACACCUGAAAAAAAGCUGUAGUUGUGUCCUGAAAGCAGUUGUCUGUUUGCUUAGCCACAUAAGUUGCUACUAGGAACCUGUGACUCUGCUCUGUGCGUCAGAUUUCUAUUUACCUUGUAUUUGAGAUAGAUUUUAUAGUAGUUUUGAAAGUUGUCCGUAGGAUCGGUCCUAGCUCAAUAAUAGAUUGCUUGUCUCUCCCGGGCAUUGG